ACACAGCUUCCAAAGGCCACACAAAUAGCCAGGGAGGCAAGGCCCCACUUAUAUUUCCCCUGGGAAGUGCUAGCCAGAGCCUGUUGCUAGGCAACCCGGGGGGCUUUUCUUAGUAAAGGAGGAGGCCUUAGGUGAAUAGAAUAGCAUACAGUCCACCCUCCAAUAGGGUUGCCAGUCCCCAGUUGGGUAACAAAAAACAAGGGGGAAAAGCCAGGGAAGGUAGAGAACUAGGAGAAAAACGUGCUUAUAUGAUACAAAAUAUCACCAAUUAAGCUUUUCUUUAAAUCAUGAGUUCACUUUAAGAGCAAAGCAUCUGUCCAGCUGGACAUGUUUAACUUGGAGAAGCAGCGUUGCUGCUUUGAGAAUCGACAGUGCCGUUAGUAAGCAAUCGACCAGCAAUGUGGUUUGUAUUCUAUGGAGCACUGGUUUAAAUUACCAGGCUGCAGUUUAGCAGUUUAAGAGAACUGUUGCCUUGGAAAUGGACAUGCAUUUUGAAUUAAAUGAAAUGAGUUUUGGUUCCAGGAAAGUUAUUGUUGUCAGAUGAAGAGUUGGCAUCGAAACACGACUGUUUACCGGAACCGUGUCACAAUAUUUGUAUACAAUACUGUAAUUUCUGGAUUUAUGGACUUUGCACUAAAUUUAAGUGCAGACCUAUGUCUUGUCACAUGUCAGUGGACCGUUCAGUUUUGGCUAUGACAUCUGUAUUCAAAUGAUUUGUAAAAAUUGUUGUCAUCUGAUGUAUGUUGAUAAAAAGUAUUAGUAUAAUGCUUCAUUCUAUGUUGUAAAUGGUAUGAAAAAAUAUAUCUUGCUAGCUUAA